rnacentral:rRNA from 1 species
UUGCUGAAAACUUGUGCAAACUUGAUGUAGUAGAGGAAGUAAAAGUCAUAACAAGGUUUCUGUAGGUGAACCUGCAGAAGGAUCAUUA